AACGAACGCUGGCGGCAUGCCUAACACAUGCAAGUCGAACGAGACCUUCGGGUCUAGUGGCGCACGGGUGCGUAACGCGUGGGAACCUGCCCUUAGGUUCGGAAUAACUCCCCGAAAGGGGUGCUAAUACCGGAUAAUGUCUUCGGACCAAAGAUUUAUCGCCUUUGGAUGGUCCCGCGUUGGAUUAGCUAGUUGGUAGGGUAAAAGCCUACCAAGGCGACGAUCCAUAGCUGGUCUGAGAGGAUGAUCAGCCACACUGGGACUGAGACACGGCCCAGACUCCUACGGGAGGCAGCAGUGGGGAAUAUUGGACAAUGGGCGAAAGCCUGAUCCAGCAAUGCCGCGUGAGUGAUGAAGGCCUUAGGGUUGUAAAGCUCUUUUACCCGGGAUGAUAAUGACAGUACCGGGAGAAUAAGCGCCGGCUAACUCCGUG
rnacentral:rRNA from 1 species